AUUGUUUAAUAAUCAAUUAAGAUUGAUCCUGUCUUUGAUAAAAAUUAAAAAUUAGUUUUUAAGUAAUAUUAAAUAUAAAUUUUUGUGUGUUGGUUUAAAUAUCUUAAAGAUAUUUAGAAAGUUUAAUUGUAGUUUUUGAUUUUAAAAAUUAUGGUAACAUAGAUUUAGUUAAUUUAAUUAAGAGUUGUUUAAGGUUGUGCCAGCAUACGCGGUUACACAUCCAGCUCAAAUUAAUUUUUUU
rnacentral:rRNA from 1 species